GACGAACCGUGCGAACGUUGUUCGGAUUCACUGGGCUUAAAGGGCGCGUAGGCGGACUCGCAAGUCUGUGGUGAAAGCCCCCCAGCUCAACUGGGGAAGUGCCGUGGAUACUGCAAGUCUGGAGGAGGGUAGGGGCAUCUGGGAACGCUGGGUGGAGCGGUGAAAAUGCGUUGAUAUCCAGCGGAACUCCGGUGGCGAAGGCGGCAUCCUGGACCAAUAUUGCGCUGAGGAGCGAAAGCCAGGGGAGCAAAACGGG
rnacentral:rRNA from 1 species